rnacentral:rRNA from 1 species
CUGAUUGAUAAACAUUUGAGUGAGUGGCGGACGGGUGAGUAACACGUGGGUAACCUGCCCUAAAGUGGGGGAUAACAUUUGGAAACAGAUGCUAAUACCGCAUAAAACCUAACACCGCAUGGUGUAGGGUUGAAAGAUGGUUUCGGCUAUCACUUUAGGAUGGACCCGCGGUGCAUUAGUUAGUUGGUGAGGUAAAGGCUCACCAAGACCGUGAUGCAUAGCCGACCUGAGAGGGUAAUCGGCCACACUGGGACUGAGACACGGCCCAGACUCCUACGGGAGGCAGCAGUAGGGAAUCUUCCACAAUGGACGAAAGUCUGAUGGAGCAACGCCGCGUGAGUGAAGAAGGUUUUCGGAUCGUAAAACUCUGUUGUUGGAGAAGAAUGUAUCUGAUAGUAACUGAUCAGGUAGUGACGGUAUCCAACCAGAAAGCCACGGCUAACUACGUGCCAGCAGCCGCGGUAAUACGUAGGUGGCAAGCGUUGUCCGGAUUUAUUGGGCGUAAAGCGAGCGCAGGCGGUUUCUUAAGUCUGAUGUGAAAGCCUUCGGCUCAACCGAAGAAGUGCAUCGGAAACUGGGAAACUUGAGUGCAGAAGAGGACAGUGGAACUCCAUGUGUAGCGGUGAAAUGCGUAGAUAUAUGGAAGAACACCAGUGGCGAAGGCGGCUGUCUGGUCUGUAACUGACGCUGAGGCUCGAAAGCAUGGGUAGCAAACAGGAUUAGAUACCCUGGUAGUCCAUGCCGUAAACGAUGAGUGCUAGGUGUUGGAGGGUUUCCGCCCUUCAGUGCCGCAGCUAACGCAUUAAGCACUCCGCCUGGGGAGUACGACCGCAAGGUUGAAACUCAAAGGAAUUGACGGGGGCCCGCACAAGCGGUGGAGCAUGUGGUUUAAUUCGAAGCAACGCGAAGAACCUUACCAGGUCUUGACAUCCUUUGACCACUCUAGAGAUAGAGCUUUCCCUUCGGGGACAAAGUGACAGGUG